UGGAUCGAUGAUGACUACUGGUGGCGUAUGAGUCGUGGUUGAUGAAUACGUGUCUGGAACUCUGAGGUCCAG
rnacentral:snoRNA from 1 species